UCCCCUAGUAACGGCGAGUGAAGUGGGAUGAGCUCAAAUUUAAAAUCUGGUAGUCUUUGGCUGCCUGAGUUGUAAUCUAGAGAAGUGUUUUCUGUGCUGGACUGUGUUCAAGUUUCCUGGAUAUGGAACAUCAUAGAGGGUGAGAAUCCCGUCCUUGACACAGAUUCCCCAGUGCUCUGUGAUGCACUCUCAACGAGUCGAGUUGUUUGGGAUUGCAGCUCAAAAUGGGAGGUAAAUUCCUUCUAAAGCUAAAUAUUGGCGAGAGACCGAUAGCGAACAAGUACCGUGAGGGAAAGAUGAAAAGCACUUUGGAAAGAGAGUUAAACAGUACGUGAAAUUGUUAAAAGGGAAACAAUUGAAGUCAGUCGCAUCUACUUGGACUCAACCUUACUUUGGUUUGGUGCAUUUCCUUGUUGGAUGGGCCAGUGUUCAUGUUAAUUGCUGGAAAAGGGGCUAGGGAAUGUGGCUCUUUUGGGAGUGUUAUAGCCUUGGCUCAUAUACAGUGAUUAAUAUGGAGUGGUACAGCAUGCUUCGGUGGUGCUUGUGCUGGCAUAAUGGCUUUAAAUGACCCGUCUUGAAACACGGACCAAGGAGUCUAACAUGUCUGCAAGUAUUUGGGUGAUAAACC
rnacentral:rRNA from 1 species